UGGGGAAUAUUGGACAAUGGGCGCAAGCCUGAUCCAGCCAUGCCGCGUGAGUGAUGAAGGCCCUAGGGUUGUAAAGCUCUUUCACCGGUGAAGAUAAUGACGGUAACCGGAGAAGAAGCCCCGGCUAACUUCGUGCCAGCAGCCGCGGUAAUACGAAGGGGGCUAGCGUUGUUCGGAUUUACUGGGCGUAAAGCGCACGUAGGCGGACUUUUAAGUCAGGGGUGAAAUCCCGGGGCUCAACCCCGGAACUGCCUUUGAUACUGGAAGUCUUGAGUAUGGUAGAGGUGAGUGGAAUUCCGAGUGUAGAGGUGAAAUUCGUAGAUAUUCGGAGGAACACCAGUGGCGAUGGCGGCUCACUGGACCAUUACUGACGCUGAGGUGCGAAAGCGUGGGGAGCAAACAGG
rnacentral:rRNA from 1 species